GAAUUCCUAGUGAUUUUACCUGAUAGCGGCCGCAGAGUUUGAUCCUGGCUCAGGACAAACGCUGGCGGCGUGCCUAAUACAUGCAAGUCGAGCGGCGCGGCGCAAGCCGUGCAGCGGCAGACGGGUGAGUAACACGUAGGUAACCUUGCCCGACGGGCGGGGAUACCCUUGGGAAACCGAGGCUUAAUACCGCAUACAAGCCCGGCGCAAGCCCGGUUUGGAAAGGGGCAACCCGCCGACGGAAGGGCUUGCGCGCAUAAUGAGUUGGCGGGGUAACGGCCCCCAAACACAUUCCUUACCCCCCUUAAAAGGGAAACCGCCCCCUUGGAACUUAAGCCAAAAUUUAGGGAGGGCCUGGGAAAUUUUUCCCAAUUGGGAAACCUUAACAAACCUUUGGGAAACCAGGUUAAACAACCCGAA
rnacentral:rRNA from 1 species